rnacentral:rRNA from 1 species
GAUGAACGCUAGCGACAGGCUUAACACAUGCAAGUCGAGGGGCAGCAUAGAAGUAGCAAUACUUUGGUGGCGACCGGCGCACGGGUGAGUAACGCGUAUGCAACCUACCUAUCAGAGGGGAAUAACCCGGCGAAAGUCGGACUAAUACCGCAUAAAACAGGGGCACCGCAUGGUGAUAUUUGUUAAAGAAAUUCGCUGAUAGAUGGGCAUGCGUUCCAUUAGGUAGUUGGUGAGGUAACGGCUCACCAAGCCGACGAUGGAUAGGGGAACUGAGAGGUUGGUCCCCCACACUGGUACUGAGACACGGACCAGACUCCUACGGGAGGCAGCAGUGAGGAAUAUUGGUCAAUGGGCGGGAGCCUGAACCAGCCAAGUCGCGUGAAGGAAGAAGGAUCUAUGGUUCGUAAACUUCUUUUGCAGGGGAAUAAAGUGCGGGACGUGUCCUGUUUUGUAUGUACCCUGAGAAUAAGGAUCGGCUAACUCCGUGCCAGCAGCCGCGGU